UACGUAGGGUGCGAGCGUUGUCCGGAAUUAUUGGGCGUAAAGCGCACGUAGGCGGCUCUUUAAGUCGGAGGUGAAAUCCUGGAGCUCAACUCCAGAACUGCCUUCGAUACUGUAGAGCUUGAGUUCGGGAGAGGUGAGUGGAACUGCGAGUGUAGAGGUGAAAUUCGUAGAUAUUCGCAAGAACACCAGUGGCGAAGGCGGCUCACUGGCCCGAUACUGACGCUGAGGCACGAAAGCGUGGGGAGCAAACAGG
rnacentral:rRNA from 1 species